CGCUUGACUUCCUGUUCACAUCGCAUCCGACGACCGACAUCAACAGCAUGCUCACGUUCCUCCAGGACUGGAAAGUCAUACGAGCUGUGCGUGGAAGAUUGGCUAACAAGCGGAGCAAAAUUAGCGCGCUUGGAAGCGGAAGAGGCUCCGAUGGGGUUAACAGGACAUGGAGACAGUUGGGCCGCACCCACGCAUCUGAUUUAAAUAACGCCGCGUUUUGGCGCGAGACUGCGAGCAGACCACGCCCAUCUUCAUACCCGCCAGCCUCCCUGCCGCCUGAGUGGCGGGAAAUGCAAGACUAGAAGGGAGGGGGGAGGGGGCAUAACACAGAAAUGAAUGAGCAGUAGCGGCUCACCUACCAACUGCACUGGUUGCCGUGGAAACCCAAAACAAAAUCUAGCAAAGGGGUGGAGGGGGGUGGGGGUGGAGCAACACCCACCUUCCUGUUGUGGCGCGAAACUGCAGAGAGAUAAAGCUCUCUCUGUGGGAGGAGACAAAGGCAAGCAUGAGUGGAGCAGACCAGAACAAAGAGGGUACCCUUACCCCUGAUCAAAGCCCCACCCCCCAAAACACACCCUGAAAGCUGAAGGCAAAAUGAUGAAUGACUGUUAGAACCUGAGCUUGCAGCUUCAUUAUUCUUCUACAUUUGGGUAGAACCUGAUUGAUUGAUAGUUUUAUUAGUAGAUUGCACAGUUCAGUACAUAUUCCGUACAAUUGACCACUAAAUGGUAACACCCGAAUAAGUUUUUCAACUUGUUUAAGUCGGUGUCCACGUUAAUCAGUUCAUGGUAAGUCCACAACACAAGAGAAGAAUUUGAGAAGACAAUAACAAUAAACACUUGGCCCUGCGAUGAGGUAGCGACUUGUCCAAGGUGUUCCCUGCCUUCCACCCGAUUGUAGCUGAGAUAAGCGCCAGCGCCCCCCGCAACCCCAAAAGGGAAUAAGCUGUAGAAAAUGGAUGGAUGGAUAACAGUAAACACACAUUCACUGUUUUGCCCAAUUAAACAUACAUUAUCAAGCUAAUUUUUACAUUUUUACACUGGCUUACUCCUUUUUACACCUGCAUGACAAUUAGUAUUGUUGAGAGACACUGAACAUGAACCUAAUGAACCCGAGACUCAGGCUGAUACACACUUGAUGUGCUAGUACAUGAGAUGCGGUUCAACCCCCGCUAAGGUAGAGGAACCGCAGGAAGGUCACAUGACUAACACAGACCACUAAAAGCAUCCACCGAGCACUCAAGUCAUUUAAUUAGAUUUGAAUUUCAUUGGUCAUCACAAACAUGAUUGUCCUGCCUUUAAGGAUCACUGGUGUCUGUGGGUCAAAGUCACACAACAGCAAUUUUGUCUCAUUUCCUGUCUCCAUUUAGCUCAACACAAAAACAGGAUAUGUGUACAGACUAUGCGUUUCCUGGGCCUUGUAAUAGGCUCUGUCUUUCCCCGCUUUUACAAUAAAGAUGGGUGCCAAAUCUCGGUUCCAUAACGGACAUACGCGGUUUAACCAGACCAAAAAAGCUCAGUAGCUAAUGCAUACUCUGAAACCUGCAACAAGUGCUUGAAGGUGUGAUUGUGCAAGUCAUGUCAUGUAAUACAUAUAGCAUCCUGACAGAGAAGUGGCGACUUGUCCAGGGUGUAUCGUGCCUUCCGCUUGAAUGCAGCCAAGAUAGGCUCCAGCAUCCCCCGCAACACCAAAAGGGGCCUACAGAGCCCCACGGAAUUUGACGCUUUUUAUAAAAAAGUUGAUUGCCGACCUUAACACACAAAAAGCGGCCCUUAGUUCCAACUCAGUAACACAACACUUCCUGAUUAUGCGCCAAUCACGGUAACAGUGAGUGAGGUGCCUUAACAAAUUGUGGGAUUUUGGACAACAACGUCACGAGACAAGGAAGUGGGGGUUUUUUUCACGUUUUUUGCUGCUGGUGAUUUUGCGACUAUUAUGAAGAAAAUUUGAUUUGAAUUGUAUUUCUUUGUUGUAUGUCUUUGUUUUUUACAAAAUUCUAUACAAAAAAAAAAAUCUGUUUAGAAUUUUUUUAGGUGCCGUUUAAUAUAAUAAUGAUGCGAAUCUUUCAAUGAUUUGAUUUGGUUUCGAUAUGAUAUGUAAAUAUAUAUGUAUAUAAACACUAUAUAUAUAUAUAUAUAUAUAUAUUAGGGCUGCAAAUCUUUGGGUGUGCCACGAAUCGAUUCAAUAUCGAUUUAUGAGGUCACGAUUCGAUAAUAUAUCAAUUUUUUCGAUUCGAUUCUCGAUUCAAAAACGAUAUUUUUCCGAUUCAAAACGAUUCUGUAUUCAUUCAAUACAUAGGAUUUCAGCAGGAUCUUCCCCGUUCUGCUGACAUGCUAGCAGAGUAGUAGAUUAAAAAAAAAAAGAUUUUAUAAUUGUAAAGGACAAUGUUUUAUCAACUAAUUGCAAUAAUGUAAAUUUGUUUUAACUAUUAAACAAACCAAAAAUAUGACUUAUUUUAUCUUUGUGAAAACAUUGGACACAGUGUGUUGUCAAGCUUAUGAGAUGCGAUGCAAGUGUAAGCCACUGUGACACUAUUGUUCUUUUUAUCCAUCCAUCCAUUUUCUAUCGCUUAUUCCCUUUUGGGGUCGCGGGGGGCGCUGGCGCCUAUCUCAGCUACAAUCGGGCGGAAGGCGGGUUACACCCUGGACAAGUCGCCACCUCAUCGCAGGGCCAACACAGAUAGACAGACAACAUUCACACUCACAUUCAAACACUAGGGGCCAAUUUUGUGUUGCCAAUCAACCUAUCCCCAGGUGCAUGUCUUUGGAGGUGGGAGGAAGCCGGAGUACCUGUAGGGAACCCACGCAUUCACGGGGAGAACAUGCAAACUCCACACAGAAAGAUCCCAAGCCUGGAUUUGAACCCAGGACUGCAGAAACUUCGUAUUGUGAGGCAGACGCACUAACCCCUCUGCCACCGUGAAGCCCUGUUCUUUUUAUUAUUUUUAUAAAUGUCUAAUGAUAAUGUUAAUGAGGGAUUUUUAAUCACUGCUAUGCUGAAAUUAUAACUAAUAUUGAUACUAUUGUUGAUAAUAUUCAUUAUUUCAACCCAUUUUUGUUUGACUACUUUUGGUUUGUUCUGUGUUGUGUUUGUGUCUCCUCUCAAUUGCUCUGUUUAUUGCAGUUCUGAGUGUUGCUGGGUCAGGUUUGGUUUUGGAAUUGGAUUGCAUUGUUAUGGUAUUGCUGUGUAGUGGUUUGUUGGAUUGAUUAAAAAAAAAAAAAAUCCCCAUAAAAUAAAAUA